rnacentral:rRNA from 1 species
CCUACGGGUGGCAGCAGUGAGGAAUAUUGGUCAAUGGACGCAAGUCUGAACCAGCCAUGCCGCGUGCAGGAAGACGGCUCUAUGAGUUGUAAACUGCUUUUGUACGAGGGUAAACGCAGAUACGCGUAUCUGUCUGAAAGUAUCGUACGCAUAAGGAUCGGCUAACUCCGCGCCAGCAGACGCGGUAAUACGGAGGAUUCAAGCGUUACUCGGAUUUAUUGGGUUUAAAGGGUGCGUAGGCGGUCGGAUAAGUUAGAGGUGAAAUCCCGAGGCUCAACUUCGGAAUUGCCUCUGAUACUGUUCGGCUAGAGAGUGGUUGCGGUAGGCGGAAUGUAUGGUGUAGCGGUGAAAUGCUUAGAGAUCAUAAAGAACACCGAUGGCGAAGGCAGCUUACCGAUCUAUAUCUGACGUUGAGGCACGAAAGCGUGGGGAGCAAACAGGAUUAGAUACCCGAGUAGUC